GCAGAGGUAUCGAAGCGGUCAUAACGGGGCUGACUCGAAAUCAGUUUGUGGAUAACACCACACGAGGGUUCGAAUCCCUCCCUCUGCGCCA
rnacentral:tRNA from 2 species